UCAUCUGAGAUUGCCUUAGUAAUGGCGAAUGAACCGGCAAAAGCUCAUUGCUGAAGCGUGUUAAAUUCACUUUUGACAUGCAUUGUAGCAUUUAGGGUAACUAUUGUAUGGUGCCUGUUCGUGUGAGUUCCUUUGAUCAGGGCUUUAACCAUAGAAGGUGCUAGUCCUAUAAUCACGAAUAGUUGUGCUGUACAUUGUAUACCUUUCGAGUAGCGUAGUUUGAGAUUGCUACGCCAACGUGGGACGUAAACUUGUUCCAAAGCUAAAUAUUAUAACGAGACCGAUAGCGAACAAGUACCGUGAGGGAAAGUUGAAAAGCACUCUGAAGAGAGAGUUAAAUAGUACGUAAAACCGUACAGAAGAAAACGAAUGGCCGCAUUCAUCAGAUUACUUUGAAUUCAAUUCGAUCUCUAUAUGAUGGUGAUACAUGUUGAUUUCGAACUUCAACAGUCGAUUGAUAUGUUAUUGCCUGGAGUCGGAUGCAUUUUCAAAGUAUUAACUGAACCUGGAUCUAUAACAUUGAAAGCUAGUCGAAUCAGUCUAUUUUGGUGGCGAGUUUACUCGUGUUAAAAAUAUGACUUGCAUAAAUAACAAAUUCGACUUGGCGUUAUAGGUAAACAGACAAGUUCUUUGAUUUCAGUACUUUCGAGUACGGCAUACUAUGUGCAUUGUUGGUGUCACAUGAGUAACUAAUAUUUAACCGAUAUUAGUUUUAUUCAUUGUCGGUGCCUAAUGUUGUGUGGUUGUCAAUGAAAUCGGCAAGUCUACAGGAGUUUUGAAUGCCGAGUUAUUCGACCCGUCUUGAAACACGGUCUAAGGAGUUCACUGCAUGUGCAAGAGUUCGGCUGUAUGAAAAGCCUUGCUCGUAAUGAAAGUAAAGAACAUUCUUGCAAUGUUUUAAGUGUGAUUUCUGUCAUCUGGUGCAAAUCAUGACAAUGAACGCAACACUGACAGGUUCUAUUGCCGNUGGCAAAGAGCUUAGUAAGAGUAUAUGCAAUGAGACCCGAAAGAUGGUGAACUUAAUGUGUGUAGAAUGAAGCCAGGGGAAACCC
rnacentral:rRNA from 1 species